rnacentral:rRNA from 1 species
UACAGAGGGUGCAAGCGUUGUUCGGAAUUAUUGGGCGUAAAGCGCGUGUAGGCGGCUUUGCAAGUCGGGUGUGAAAGCCCUCAGCUCAACUGAGGAAGUGCGCCCGAAACUGCAGAGCUUGAGUGCCGGAGAGGGUGGCGGGAAUUCCCCAAAGUAGAGGUGAAAUUUCGUAGAUAUGGGGGAGGAACACCGGUGGCGAAGGCGGCCACCUGGACGGUAAACUGACGCUGAGACGCGAAAGCGUGGGGAGCAAACAGG